AAUGAAUCAUCAAUUAAUCUUCACAAGAUGGUACAGUGGAUUUUACUGUUAAAAUAUCAUAAACUUGUGUCAUGUUGUUCGUGCCCAACAAGCAUGACUAGCAUGUGUAUGCAUGAAUGUUGCAGUCCAUAUAGCAUGCUCUAAUGUAAUGGCUCCGUUAGUCACUUUGGUUAAUGUCACUUGCACAUUUGGAGGAAAGCAGGUUUGUGGCAUGACAAUUGACUGUGAUGUAUUGCAGGCUGAGCGUCUACUGGAGAAGGAGCGGCAGGAGGAUCAGAGGAGAAGGGAGGAGUUUGAGCAGGACCGCCUCAGGAAGUGGUGGUGUGGUCCAAUUAUCCCUCUUUGCAUUUAAUGGUUUCAAACCCCAGCUACCAUCUUUUGUCCAGCAACUCCCAGGGAUGAUGGCAGCCACGAUGUUACUGGAAUAUGAUCCCUGGAUGACUCCCAAGGUAAUUGCUUGUCAAGUGGCAUCCCUGGUUUCCUUACAAGGUAAACAAAAACAGGAGACAGCAGACCAGUGUACAGAACUGAAGAAACAAUGAUGAUAUUUAGAAAUGGGGCUAAUGGAGACAGAGUAGCAGAGCAGAUGCUCUGUGCACAGUCGGGACAGUGUCACACGGGACAAACAAACGUGGUCAGCCUUUGUCAGACUGUCAGCUUUCCAGGUCUGUGGAGUGUCUGCUGAUUAAAAUAAUACUUAAGGCCUUAUUAUUUCUCUAUGUGUGUGUGUGUGUUUGUGUGUGUGUGAGAGACCAUGUACACGACAGAGGAAAUAAAGUGUUUAUCUAUUGCAGAACACAGGAGAGGUUUCUUCAGAAUUUCGAGAGAAAGCUUCAUCAGCGUCCACCACUGCUAUAUGCACGUCAUCCAGGGUAAAAUGGUGUCCAAAUCAUAUAUGUUUUGCUAACUCUGUGCAGCAGUGGGUCUAUGCAUGCAUGUGCUCUAUGCAUCCUAGGAGUCAGUGCUAACUCUCAUAUGUGUGGCGUCAGAGAAUCUGUGUGGUAUUUCACACAAGUAGAUCUGCAUUUGUAGACUGUUUUCUGAGUAAAUACCCUUAUGUGCAGAGUUUUCAUCGUCUGAGGCCACACGGAUAUUAAACUGUAUCCCAUGUAGGUCGGGAGUUUACAUUUAUCUACUGGUCAUACAUGGAGCACACACCAGUACAGUAAGAUCACAGAUGAGUAAAAGGAACAAAAAUACACCGAUAAAUAUGCCAGUGUUUUUGGGGAGUUUCCUAUUAUUUUUUUGUUUUGUUUGGGGUUUUUUUAUUCUUGUUACUUGUCAGUAUUGUCUUUCUACCUCUUUCAGCCUCUGUUGUUUUUUAAUGUCUGCUUCCUUUUGUCUUUUCUCAGCCUCUCUUCCUCUCUGAAUGUUGGUUUUCUUGGAAGGAAGCGGUGGAAGGCUAGGAAAGUUCAAGGGACUUCCCAGAGUUCACACUGAGC
ensembl:lncRNA